rnacentral:rRNA from 1 species
CACGUAGGGUGCGAGCGUUGUCCGGAAUUAUUGGGCGUAAAGAGCUCGUAGGCGGUGUGUCGCGUCGGCCGUGAAAACUUGGGGCUUAACUCUGAGCGUGCGGUCGAUACGGGCAUGACUGGAGUUCGGCAGGGGAGACUGGAAUUCCUGGUGUAGCGGUGAAAUGCGCAGAUAUCGGGAGGAACACCGGUGGCGAAGGCGGCCUUCUGGACGGAUACUGACGCUGAGACGCGAAAGCGUGGGGAGCAAACAGG